UUUGUGCAUUGGUAAUGCUUUGUCCACAAAAUUCCAAAUCUAAUCUAAAAAAAUCUAUGACGAUACCGCUUCACCUCCACUUCGGAGCGCCGGAGUAACGUUAUGUAAUUAUGACAUUCAAUGGAGGAAACCCUCUAUGUCCUCUUCAACGCAUCUUCAGUUCGUCACUGGAAGUGGGAGCCCUCUCCAAAUCCCUCCAUUCCAGCGACCUCAUAGAUCCCAAAAGAUACUUCUAAUUUCUAUUUAUUUUUUCCCUUCACUGAUUUCGUACUUUUUUAUAGAUGCUCACAGUCAGUCUCUGCCAAAAGUAACCGGCUCAAUACCUUCAAACACAUUCUGAAGGAAGGAUCUCCUAUGAGAUGAGAGUUUUUUAUGUCACCAGAAGCAACCAAAACUUCAGAUUUGUUGACAGCCCUGUUGCUAUUAGAUUCACGGAGAUACAAAAUUUGAUGAGAUAGCAGAAACCAUGAACCCUCUCCCGGUGGAACUUUUCAGGUUUAGUGAUUACGAACAACUCAUGUUCUUGACUAAUACAAACACGGAUUUGUCAGAUAUUGCUGGUGAAGCGAGGGAUAUUAAAACCAUUUACAAUUAAGAAACCCAAAGCACUCAACGUAUUAUGCCUAAUAUAAGAAACUUUAUUUUAUUUUGUUAACCUUUUUAAGACCAAGGUUAGUUUUAAUAUAUCAAAAUGUUUUGCAUUUCAUCUCUUCCACUAUGCAGGAACACCACUGUUUGUCUUAUUGUUUUUGAAGGACUUACCAUGCUUCUCCAUAAUAAAUUAGUAACGUCUGGUGUUGAGCCUUUAAUGAUGAACAUCAACCUUAAAUUAGUAGGAGGUAGACUUAUAUCUCCACACUCAUGUUCUGCUUUUCUGUUUAUGUUUUUUUGUUGGCACUUUGCAAUUUCUAAUAAGUUAGUUUUUAAAGCUUGGAUGUACGCAAGAAACUCAUAUAGAGCAAGUUUUCUGGCCUCCUCAUCACGUCGUUUGUACUUUGACCAUCUCUCCUUAGUGGAAUCUCUUUCAUAUAUUAACCCAUGCCAUUUGUUUCUUUUCCACCCCAUUUGUUACUGAGUACAGACGGUCAGAGUUACCUUAAAGGGUUAGGAGUUAGCGCAGAAAACCCCUCUGACACAUUCCUUACCCUAGGAUCUGUAGCAGUGAGUAAGGUUGUUCAUCUACUUCUACAAAAUAUGGAGAUGUCAAAGAAGAUUGAAUCUAUAACAGUAUCAGAGCCCAAUGACUAUAUCCUGAAUUCACCGCCUCAGGUUAGCACACUAACGUCAACUUAUGAUCCUUUAUUAUCUGUCUCUGAUGGGCCUGACUCUGCAGUGUAUGUUACUUUUGACGCUGAGAUGACAAAAUUGACCAAUAUUUGUGCUUCACUGGUCAUGGUAUCAGUCACCGGGUAACCCAUUAUAUCUAUGUAUAUCUUCUCAUGAUUUUUGACGUUGUUUACUUUGACAUUUUGUGAUACAGCACGUAGGCGUUGAAGACCCACAUGUCAGGGCCCUCCCACAAGGCCUCCAAGAUAUUGUAGGCAAGAUAUUCACUUUCCGCUUUACAAAUUCAAUCUCUCUUUUAAACAUCACUCUUUCCCUGUCUCACGAAUUUCAGUCGUCACCAGCGCCCAUCAAUAGCUAAUUUUGCGGUCCAGUGUUCUGUGACCAGUAGAAGAUUCAAUAGUCAUGGUAUGAUUGAAGAAAACAGAGGCGAGGCAGCUCUACUACGAGCUCGACCUGUUGUUCUUGAAAUGACUGUGGAGGAGCCAACAGUUACAGAGGAUGGACACUCUGUAAAGAAGGCACGCGUUGAGUAAAAUCUCAAGGGAGUCUAUGACCCUCAUGUCGUCGACCACAGCUACGCUGGAGUUUUCUCAAAUUUAGCAUAAUAAUGAAAUAGGGCUACAACUCAUUCCCACCCGUUAUGUUAGGGUCUUUGUUUUUUUUUUCAAAAUUUCGUGUGUCUCAAGUAAGCUCUCUUUUUAUAAGUAUAUAAAUAACAACUCCUACUUUCCGAACUCAGAGGAAGCUCUGACUUGAAGGUUCAAUUUAGUCACUUAUUUUAAGCACCA